rnacentral:rRNA from 1 species
CCUACGGGUGGCAGCAGUGAGGAAUAUUGGUCAAUGGGCGCGAGUCUGAACCAGCCAAGCCGCGUGAGGGAAGACGGUCCUAUGGAUUGUAAACCUCUUUUGUCGGGGAGCAAACGACGCCACGCGUGGCGUUCUGAGAGUACCCGAAGAAAAAGCAUCGGCUAACUCCGUGCCAGCAGCCGCGGUAAUACGGAGGAUUCGAGCGUUAUCCGGAUUUAUUGGGUUUAAAGGGUGCGAAGGCGGAGGAUUAAGUCAGGGGUAAAAUUGGGAGGCUCAACCUCUUAGAGCCGUUGAAACUGGUUGGCUUGAGUGUGGGAGAGGUAGGCGGAAUGCGUGGUGUAGCGGUGAAAUGCAUAGAUAUCACGCAGAACUCCGAUUGCGAAGGCAGCAUACCGGGGCUCAACUGACGCUGAGGCACGAAAGUGUGGGUAGCGAACAGGAUUAGAUACCCGAGUAGUC